UACGAAGGGGGCUAGCGUUGCUCGGAAUUACUGGGCGUAAAGGGCGCGUAGGCGGAUAGUUUAGUCAGAGGUGAAAGCCCAGGGCUCAACCUUGGAACUGCCUUUGAUACUGGCUAUCUUGAGUUCGGGAGAGGUGAGUGGAAUUCCUAGUGUAGAGGUGAAAUUCGUAGAUAUUAGGAAGAACACCAGUGGCGAAGGCGGCUCACUGGCCCGGUACUGACGCUGAGGCGCGAAAGCGUGGGGAGCAAACGGGG
rnacentral:rRNA from 1 species